ACAUUUUUUUAAGAUUAUUAUUUAAAGUAGGUUCUGCCCUAUGAUUAAUUUUUUAAAUGGCUGCAGUAUCUUGACUGUGCAAAGGUAGCAUAAUAAUUAGUUUCUUAAUUAGGGGCUUGUAUGAAUGGAUUAAUGAGAAAUUUAUUUUAUUAUAAUUAUUUUUAUAAAUUAAUUUUUUAGUUAAAAUGCUUAAAUGUAUUAUUGGGACGAUAAGACCCUAUAGAACUUUUAAUUUAUAUUUAUUUUAUUAUAAUUUAGAUUUAUAUUGUUUGUAUUAUUAUUUAUUUUUUGCUGGGGUGGUGAAUAAAAUUUUAACUUUAUUUUUUUUUAUCAUUAAUUUAUGUUUUUUUGAUCCAAUAUAUUGAUUUUAAGAUUAAGUUACCUUAGGGAUAACAGCGUAAUUUUGGUGGAAAGUUCAUAUUUAUAUUAAAGUUUGCGACCUCGAUGUUGAAUUAAGAUUAAAUUAAGGGGUAGGUUCUUUAAGGUUAGGUCUGUUCGACCUUUAAAUUCUUACAUGAUCUG
rnacentral:rRNA from 1 species